GACGAACGCUGGCGGCGUGCCUAAUACAUGCAAGUCGAACGCUUCUUUCCUCCCGAGUGCUUGCACUCAAUUGGAAAGAGGAGUGGCGGACGGGUGAGUAACACGUGGGUAACCUACCCAUCAGAGGGGGAUAACACUUGGAAACAGGUGCUAAUACCGCAUAACAGUUUAUGCCGCAUGGCAUAAGAGUGCAAGGCGCUUUCGGGUGUCGCUGAUGGAUGGACCCGCGGUGCAUUAGCUAGUUGGUGAGGUAACGGCUCACCAAGGCCACGAUGCAUAGCCGACCUGAGAGGGGGAUCGGCCACACUGGGACUGAGACACGGCCCAGACUCCUACGGGAGGCAGCAGUAGGGAAUCUUCGGCAAUGGACGAAAGUCUGACCGAGCAACGCCGCGUGAGUGAAGAAGGUUUUCGGAUCGUAAAACUCUGUUGUUAGAGAAGAACAAGGACGUUAGUAACUGAACGUCCCCUGACGGUAUCUAACCAGGAAGCCACGGCUAACUACGUG
rnacentral:rRNA from 1 species